rnacentral:lncRNA from 1 species
AUGGGUUGUUGUUAUUUUAUAAAUCUCAUCUUGAAUUUGAAUCUCUUUAAAAAUGUCGAAGGAACCACAGCUGUCUUGCUGCCACUGUGCCCCAUGGUCCUCGUCCUGCUCCCCCCUCCCCUCGGCGCUGCCCCGAGCUCCCCCUGCACCGCUGGCCCAGCUGCCAGAGGAGGACACAGAAGGGGUCGGGUCGGGGGGUGCCCCACACAGGGUCUCGGGGGCCUGGGUGACCCGCACUGUGUGCCGAGUCACCCAGGGCUCAGUCCAGCCAUCCCUCCCUCCCUAGGCCGGAGCCUGUCCCCGCCCUGCUGCGGUGGGACCUCGAAGGGGCCCCCACAUGUGUUGACGCAGUGGUGCUGCAACGCGGUUACAAUGUCCCCAUUUCAGAGCCGAGCAGACUGGGGCUCGGGCAGCAGGGUCAGUGCCUUGCUCUCCACGGCCCCGGGCGGGUAUGGCCACUCACGGUCGCCGAGCUGCGGCCCCACUGGGGAAGGCAGGUCCCGUGACUCUUCCCAGCGAGCCCUACAGUGGGCCAGCCCUGACCCGGGGUCGGGAGGACUGGUGGCUCCCAGCUGCUCGAAACAGGGCCUGGGCCAUGCGGGAGGCAGAGGGGGCAGGGGGGUGGGGGGUGAGUGUGUGUGGGGGUGCAGGGGGUACCGUCGCAGAAACCAUCAAGUGCCAGGUGCUUCCACAGCUGCAGGGCUCCACCCCCAGGUCCGCAUUGUCCCCGCCUGUUGGAAAAACAGAUGUUCUUGUCCUCAGUUCCGUCCCUUUGUCCCCAACAAGCACUUAAGCGCAGAAAGGGGGUGGAGAACUGGGGACGGAAUCAGGCAUCUAUUCUGGGCUGUUGCCAUGGGAGGCGGGGGGAGUGGGGGGGAGUGGGGCAGGAGGGCCUCCCCGGCAGGCGGGCUCCAGGGCUGGUGGGUGCCACCGGCUGGCUCCGGGAGGAGGGUGCUUGUCUCCCGGGCUGAUGUCGGGGGCGCCCCUGGCCUUUUGCCUCCACUUCCAGGUUUUGGGAGGCUGGGUGAGGUCAAGGGCUGA